rnacentral:rRNA from 1 species
UAAUACGGAGGGUGCGAGCGUUGUCCGGAAUCACUGGGCGUAAAGGGCGCGUAGGCGGCGCGGGAAGUCGGGGGUGAAAGUCCGGGGCUCAACCCCGGAUCGGCCUUCGAGACUCCCGCGCUGGAGCACAGUAGAGGCGGGUGGAAUUCCGGGUGUAGCGGUGGAAUGCGUAGAGAUCCGGAAGAACACCGGUGGCGAAGGCGGCCCGCUGGGCUGUGGCUGACGCUGAGGCGCGACAGCGUGGGGAGCAAACAGGAUUAGAUACCCUGGUAGUCCACGCCGUAAACGAUGGGCACUAGGUGCCUGGGGGAGCGACCCCCUGGGUGCCGGCGCUAACGCAUUAAGUGCCCCGCCUGGGGAGUACGGCCGCAAGGCUG